UACGUAGGGGGCAAGCGUUGUCCGGAUUCAUUGGGCGUAAAGAGCGUGUAGGCGGCCAGGUAGGUCGGUUGUGAAAACUGGAGGCUCAACCUUCAGAGGUCGACCGAAACCAUCUGGCUAGAGUCCGGGAGAGGAGAGUGGAAUUCCUGGUGUAGCGGUGAAAUGCGCAGAUAUCAGGAGGAACACCGGUGGCGAAGGCGGGACUCUGGGCCGAUACUGACGCUGAGGUGCGAAAGCGUGGGGAGCAAACAGG
rnacentral:rRNA from 1 species